rnacentral:SRP_RNA from 1 species
GCUGGGCGUUGUGGCGGGCGCCUGUAGUCCCAGCUACUUGGGAGGCUGAGGCAGGAGACUCGCUUGAGCCCAGGAGUUGGAGGUUGCUGUGAGCUGUGAUGCUAUGACACUCUACUCAGGGGAACAGCUUGAGGCUCCGUCUCAAAAAAAAAAAAGAAUUUUGGCCUGGACAAGAUCAGAUUUUCUUUUUUUUAGAGACAGAGUCUCACUUUUUUGCCCUUGAUAGAGUGCUGUGGCAUUACAGCUCACAGCAACCUCCAGGUCUUGGGCUUAGGCGAUUCUCUGCCUCAG